rnacentral:rRNA from 1 species
AACGAACGCUGGCGGCAUGCCUAAUACAUGCAAGUCGAACGAUCACCUCGGUGGUAGUGGCGCACGGGUGCGUAACGCGUGGGAAUCUGCCCUUGGGUUCGGAAUAACGUCGGGAAACUGACGCUAAUACCGGAUGAUGACGUAAGUCCGAAGAUUUAUCGCCCAGGGAUGAGCCCGCGUAGGAUUAGCUAGUUGGUGGGGUAAAGGCUUACCAAGGCGACGAUCCUUAGCUGGUCUGAGAGGAUGAUCAGCCACACUGGGACUGAGACACGGCCCAGACUCCUACGGGAGGCAGCAGUAGGGAAUAUUGGACAAUGGGGGCAACCCUGAUCCAGCAAUGCCGCGUGAGUGAUGAAGGCCUUAGGGUUGUAAGGCUCUUUUACCCGGGAUGAUAAUGACAGUACCGGGAGAAUAAGCCCCGGCUAACUCCGUGCCAGCCGCCGCGGUAA